UACAGAGGUCCCAAGCGUUGUUCGGAUUUACUGGGCGUAAAGGGAGCGUAGGUGGCAUUCCAAGUCUGAUGUGAAAGCUCUGAGCUUAACUCAGAAAUGGCAUUAGAUACUGGUUUGCUUGAGGAUUGGAGGGGAGAUUGGAAUUCUUGGUGUAGCAGUGAAAUGCGUAGAUAUCAAGAGGAACACCAGUGGCGAAGGCGAAUCUCUGGACAAUUCCUGACACUGAUGCUCGAAAGCUAGGGGAGCAAACGGG
rnacentral:rRNA from 1 species